rnacentral:rRNA from 1 species
GCCAGCCCGCUCAGAAACUCAAAGGAAUUGACGGGGGCCCGCACAAGCGGUGGAGCAUGUGGUUUAAUUCGAUGAUACGCGAGGAACCUUACCUGGGCUCAAAUGUAUGUUGACGUAUUCUGAAAGGGAUACUUCUUCGGACAAUAUACAAGGUGCUGCAUGGUUGUCGUCAGCUCGUGCCGUGAGGUGUCGGGUUAAGUCCCAUAACGAGCGCAACCCCUAUCAUUAGUUGCCAUCAGGUCAAGCUGGGGACUCUAAUGAAACUGCCUACGCAAGUAGUGAGGAAGGUGGGGAUGACGUCAAAUCAGCACGGCCCUUACGUCCAGGGCUACACACGUGCUACAAUGGCCGGUACAAAGGGCAGCUACCUGGUGACAGGAUGCUAAUCUCAAAAGCCGGUCUCAGUUCGGAUCGGAGUCUGCAACCCGACUCCGUGAAGCCGGAAUCGCUAGUAAUCGCGCAUCAGCCAUGGCGCGGUGAAUACGUUCCCGGGCCUU